rnacentral:tmRNA from 1 species
GGGGAUGUAAAGGUUUCGACGUGGAUGGUUGUAUCAUGAAUAGCGAGCCGGGGUUUCAUCUGCCCGUAAAUCGGUGAACCUUUAAAUUAAACGCAAAAGAACAGAAUUUUGCUUUAGCUGCCUAAUCGCAGCUAACGUCUCUUGUUGCUACUCCUGCGGGCAGCUCGUAGACGUCACUUAGCGGGAUACCUAUGAAUCGUGCCUGGCGAUUCACACGGGAAACACACAGGCUGGAGCCAGUCUAGUUUGUCCUUGUACGAAAACUGCUCGAGAUCCUAACAAGGCCUGCGCUCGGAGAAGUUCAUGGGGCAGCAUUUACGGACAGGAGUUCGACUCUCCUCAUCUCCACCA